GAGUUUGAUUCUGGCUCAGGAUGAACGCUAGCGGCAGGCCUAACACAUGCAAGUCGAGGGGUAGAGUGCUUCGGCACUUGAGACCGGCGUACGGGUGCGUAACGCGUGUACAAUCUACCUUUUGCUAAGGGAUAGCCCGAAGAAAUUUGGAUUAAUACCUUAUAGUAUUAUUUGGUGGCAUCAUUAAAUAAUUAAAGCUACGGUGGCAAAAGAUGAGUACGCGUCCCAUUAGCUAGUUGGAGUGGUAACGGCACACCAAGGCUACGAUGGGUAGGGGUUCUGAGAGGGAUGUCCCCCACACUGGUACUGAGACACGGACCAGACUCCUACGGGAGGCAGCAGUGAGGAAUAUUGGACAAUGGUCGGAAGACUGAUCCAGCCAUGCCGCGUGCAGGAUGACGGCCUUAUGGGUUGUAAACUGCUUUUGUAUGGGAAGAAUAAGGUCUACGUGUAGAUUGA
rnacentral:rRNA from 1 species